UUUAGCCUGGGAGAACAUGGCCUGUGAUGUAGAUGAGGUGUUGUGGCCAGGGAGAACAUAACUUGUGAUGUAGAUGAGGUACAGUUUAGCCAGGGAGAACAUGGCUUGUGAUGUAGAUGAGGUGAUGUUUAGCCAGGGAGAACAUGGUUUAUGAUGUAGAUGAGGUGCUGUUUAGCCAGGGAGAACAUGGCUUGUGAUGUAGAUGAGGUGCUGUUUAGCCAGGGAGAACAUGUCUUGUGAUGUAGAUGAGGUGUUGUGGCCAGGGAGAACAUGGCCUGUGAUGUAGAUGAGGUGCUGUUUAGCCAGGGAGAACAUGGCUUGUGAUGUAGAUGAGGUGUUGUGGCCAGGGAGAACAUGGCCAGUGAUGUAGAUGAGGUGAUGUUUAGCCAGGGAGAACAUGGCUUGUGAUGUAGAUGAGGUGUUGUGGCCAGGGAGAACAUGGCUUGUGAUGUAGAUAAGGUGCUGUUUAGCCAUGGAGAACAUGGCCUGUGAUGUAGAUGAGGUGUUGUUUAGCCAGGGAGAACAUGGCCUGUGAUGUAGAUGAGGUGUUGUUUAGCCAGGGAGAACAUGGCCUGUGAUGUAGAUGAGGUGUUGUGGCCAGGGAGAACAUGGCCUGUGAUGUAGAUUAGGUGAUGUGGCCAGGGAGAACAUGGCUUGUGAUGUAGAUGAGGUGAUGUGGCCAGGGAGAACAUGGCUUGUGAUGUAGAUGAGGUGUUGUGGCCAGGGAGAACAUGGCUUGUGAUGUAGAUGAGGUGUUGUUUAGCCAGGGAGAACAUAGCCUGUGAUGUAGAUGAGGUGUUGUUUAGCCAGGGAGAACAUGGCUUGUGAUGUAGAUGAGGUGUUGUUUAGCCAGGGAGAACAUGGCCUGUGAUGUAGAUGAGGUGUUGUUUAGCCAGGGAGAACAUGGCUUGUGAUGUAGAUGAGGUGUUGUUUAGCCAGGGAGAACAUGGCCUGUGAUGUAGAUGAGGUGUUGUGGCCAGGGAGAACAUGGCCUGUGAUGUAGAUGAGGUGUUGUGGCCAGGGAGAACAUGGCUUGUGAUGUAGAUUAGGUGUUGUGGCCAGGGAGAACAUGGCCUGUGAUGUAGAUUAGGUGUUGUGGCCAGGGAGAACAUGGCCUGUGAUGUAGAUUAGGUGUUGUGGCCAGGGAGAACAUGGCCUGUGAUGUAGAUUAGGUGUUGUGGCCAGGGAGAACAUGGCCUGUGAUGUAGAUUAGGUGUUGUGGCCAGGGAGAACAUGGCCUGUGAUGUAGAUGAGGUGUUGUGGCCAGGGAGAACAUGGCCUGUGAUGUAGAUUAGGUGUUGUGGCCAGGGAGAACAUGGCCUGUGAUGUAGAUGAGGUGUUGUGGCCAGGGAGAACAUGGCUUGUGAUGUAGAUUAGGUGUUGUGGCCAGGGAGAACAUGGCUUGUGAUGUAGAUGAGGUGUUGUGGCCAGGGAGAACAUGGCUUGUGAUGUAGAUUAGGUGUUGUGGCCAGGGAGAACAUGGCUUGUGAUGUAGAUGAGGUGUUGUGGCCAGGGAGAACAUGGCUUGUGAUGUAGAUGAGGUGUUGUGGCCAGGGAGAACAUGGCCUGUGAUGUAGAUGAGGUGUUGUGGCCAGGGAGAACAUGGCUUGUGAUGUAGAUGAGGUGUUGUGGCCAGGGAGAACAUGGCUUGUGAUGUAGAUGAGGUGUUGUGGCCAGGGAGAACAUGGCUUGUGAUGUAGAUGAGGUGUUGUGGCCAGGGAGAACAUGGCUUGUGAUGUAGAUGAGGUGUUGUGGCCAGGGAGAACAUGGCUUGUGAUGUAGAUGAGGUGUUGUGGCCAGGGAGAACAUGGCUUGUGAUGUAGAUGAGGUGUUGUGGCCAGGGAGAACAUGGCUUGUGAUGUAGAUGAGGUGUUGUGGCCAGGGAGAAAUAGGAGACAGGAUGCAGCCGAAUGUAUUUUUUCUUACAUUUUUCACGUGUUUAUGUCUUUUUUUGUGUUUAGAGUUUUAAAAGAAUGAGCCUCUUUCAUUUUUACAUUUUUUUGUACAGAAAACUCUUUAUCUUACUGAAUGUUUUUCCUGUUUUUCUCCUGUUGGGUAUGGAAAGUGUUACAUACAAAACACAAGUGUUCAAAUAAUACUGCUUUUUGGAAAUAAAUGACAAUGUUUUUGUAA